rnacentral:tRNA from 1 species
GGGGGUAUACUCAGUGGUAGAGUGCUUGCCUAACAUGCCUAAGGUCCUGGGUUCAAUCCCCAGUACCACAA